AUGUCAUUCCCCGGCCGCCGCAAGUCCUCGCUCGCCGGCGCCGGCGGGGGUGCCGGCGGCGGACCGUUCGACUCGCUCGGCGCGAAGCAGAGCGCGUCGCGCAAGGGCGGGCGGCUGCCGGUCUACGUGGCGGGCAUCUUCUUCGUCAUCUUCGUCAUCAUCAUGUACGGCGAGGACAUCCGGUCCGUCACCCUCGAGCCGCUCGCGCGCGGCGUCGGGCCCGUCAGGCAGCAGGCGGUCGUCGUCUCGGACGCCGGCCGCGCGGCCGCCACCCCGCGGCGGGACGUGCUCUCUUCGUCCACGGAGAAGAGGACCGUCGCCCCGCGGCGCGACGUGAUCGCUUCUCCGGAGAGGCCCGUCCCCGUGGCGCUGCCGCGCGACGACGGAAGAGAGACGCCGGGGCACACGCCGGCGAAGACAGAGACGGCGCCGGAGCAGGUGAUCCGGAAGGUCACCGCCCCCAAGGUGAAGAAGCCGAAGAAGGCGAAGAAGCCCAGGCGGCUGCGGCCGGCGAGGAAGACGGUGGCGGCGGGGGGCGUGGUGGGGUCGCCGGAGACGUGCGACCUGUCCAAGGGCGAGUGGGUGUUCGACAACGCGAGCUACCCGCUGUACCGCGAGGAGGAGUGCUCGUUCCUGACGUCGCAGGUGACGUGCAUGAAGAACGGCCGCCGCGACGACAACUACCAGAAGUGGCGGUGGCAGCCCAAGGACUGCGACAUGCCCAGGUUUGAUGCGAAGCUGUUCAUAGAGAGGCUCCGGAACAAGCGGUUCAUGUUCGUGGGGGACUCGCUGAACCGGAACCAAUGGGAGUCGAUGGUGUGCCUGGUGCAGUCGGCCGUGUCGCCGGACAAGAAGUACGUCACAUGGGAGGACCAGCGGGUCGUCUUCCACGCCUGGGAGUUCAACGCGACGGUGGAGUUCUACUGGUCGCCGUUCCUGGUGGAGUCCAACUCGGACAACCCCAAGAUCCACAGCAUCCCGACCCGGAUCAUCGACGCGGGGGCGAUCGCCGCGCACGCCGAGAACUGGCGCAACGCCGACUACCUCGUCUUCAACACCUACAUCUGGUGGAUGAACACGCUCAACAUGAAACUCAGGAGGCCGGGCGGGCAGGACUGGGAGGACCAUGACGAGGUGGUGAGGAUCGAGGCGUACCGGAAGGUUCUCAGCACCUGGGCCGGCUGGGUGAACGACAACAUCGACCCGGCGCGCACGUCCGUCUUCUUCAUGAGCAUGUCGCCUCUUCACCUCAGCCCGCAGGUGUGGGGAAACCCUAACGGCAUCCGGUGCGCGAAGGAGACGAUGCCGCUGGUGAACUGGCGUGGGCCGAUAUGGCUGGGGACGGACUGGGACAUGUUCAAGGUGGCGUCCAACAUCACCCGGGCGGCGGCGCCGCGGGUGCCCAUCACCUUCGUGGACAUCACCACCAUGUCGGAGCGGCGCAAGGACGGGCACACCUCCGUGCACACCAUUCGGCAGGGCCAGAUCCUCACGCCGGAGCAGCAGGCCGACCCCGGCACCUACGCCGACUGCAUCCACUGGUGCCUCCCCGGCGUGCCCGACAUCUGGAACAGCUUGCUCUACACCAGGAUCAUGUCCAGGCCGGAGGCCGCGACGGCCGCUCUUACGGCGAGAUAG
rnacentral:rRNA from 1 species